UACGGGGGGGGCAAGCGUUGUUCGGAAUCACUGGGCGUAAAGCGCACGUAGGCGGCUUUCUAAGUCAGGGGUGAAAUCCUGGAGCUCAACUCCAGAACUGCCUUUGAUACUGGGAAGCUCGAGUCCGGGAGAGGUGAGUGGAACUCCGAGUGUAGAGGUGAAAUUCGUAGAUAUUCGGAAGAACACCAGUGGCGAAGGCGGCUCACUGGCCCGGUACUGACGCUGAGGUGCGAAAGCGUGGGGAGCAAACAGG
rnacentral:rRNA from 1 species